rfam:Papio anubis isolate 1X1155 chromosome 1, whole genome shotgun sequence.
GUUGGAUGUGGUGGCAUGUGCCUGUAGGCUCAGCUUGUAGAGCUGAUGGUGGAAGGAUCUCUGGGAGUUUGGAGGGUAGCACACUAUGUGCUACAUAUGGAUUGAGUGUCUGCACUAAAUUCAGCAUCAAUAGGGUGUCCUGGGAGUAGGGGACUAACAGGUUGCCUGAGGAGGGGUGAACUGGUCCAGGUUGGCAACAGAGCAGGUUAAAACUCCCAUGCUGAGCAAUAGUGGGAUAGCCACUGCACUCCAGCCUGGACAACAUUUAAGGUGACCCUGUUUCUU